rnacentral:rRNA from 1 species
AGAACGAACGCUGGCGGCAGGCUUAACACAUGCAAGUCGAACGCCCUGCAAGGGGAGUGGCAGACGGGUGAGUAACGCGUGGGAAUCUACCCAUCUCUACGGGAUAGCUCCGGGAAACUGGAAUUAAUACCGUAUACGUCCUCCGGGAGAAAGAUUUAUCGGGGAUGGAUGAGCCCGCGUUGGAUUAGCUAGUUGGUGGGUAAAGCCUACCAAGGCGACGAUCCAUAGCUGGUCUAAGAGGAUGAUCAGCCACAUUGGGACUGAGACACGGCCCAAACUCCUACGGGAGGCAGCAGUGGGGAAUAUUGGACAAUGGGCGCAAGCCUGAUCCAGCCAUGCGCGUGAGUGAUGAAGGCCCUAGGGUUGUAAAGCUCUUUCAGUGGGGACGAGUAAUGACGGUACCCACGAGAAGAAGCCCGCUAACUUCGUGCCAGCAGCCGAC